rnacentral:rRNA from 1 species
GAUGAACGCUAGCUACAGGCUUAACACAUGCAAGUCGAGGGGUAACGAGAGGGAAGCUUGCUUUCCUUGUCGACGACCGGCGCACGGGUGAGUAACGCGUAUCCAACCUGCCCCCAACUAGGGAAUAACCUUGCGAAAGUAAGACUAAUACCCUAUAAUUUCCUCAGAUGUCAUCUGACGAGGAAUAAAGAUUUAUCGGUUGUGGAUGGGGAUGCGUCUGAUUAGCUUGUUGGCGGGGUAACGGCCCACCAAGGCAACGAUCAGUAGGGGUUAUGAGGGGAAGGUCCCCCACAAUGGAACUGAGACCAGGUCCAAACUCCUACAGGAGGCCGCAGUGGGGAAUAUUGGUCAAUGGGCGGAAGCCUGACCCAGCCAAGUGGCGUGCAGGAUGACGGCCCUAUGGGUUGUAAACUGCUUUUAUACAGGAAUAAAGUUAGCCACGUGUGGUUAUUUGUAGGUACUGUAUGAAUAAGGACCGGCUAAUUCCGUGCCAGCCGCCGCGGUAA